rnacentral:ncRNA from 1 species
AAUAAAAUUAGGUUAGUAUCAUAUAUGGCUGAGAAUAUGGCUUGGCUGUCUCUACCCCUUCGCCGUAAAUGAAGGGACUAUGAU